rnacentral:rRNA from 3 species
AAAUUGAAGAGUUUGAUCAUGGCUCAGAUUGAACGCUGGCGGCAGGCCUAACACAUGCAAGUCGAACGGUAACAGGAAGCAGCUUGGCUGCUUUGCUGACGAGUGGCGGACGGGUGAGUAAUGUCUGGGAAACUGCCUGAUGGAGGGGGAUAACUACUGGAAACGGUGGCUAAUACCGCAUAACGUCGCAAGACCAAAGAGGGGGACCUUCGGGCCUCUUGCCAUCAGAUGUGCCCAGAUGGGAUUAGCUUGUUGGUGAGGUAACGGCUCACCAAGGCGACGAUCCCUAGCUGGUCUGAGAGGAUGACCAGCCACACUGGAACUGAGACACGGUCCAGACUCCUACGGGAGGCAGCAGUGGGGAAUAUUGCACAAUGGGCGCAAGCCUGAUGCAGCCAUGCCGCGUGUAUGAAGAAGGCCUUCGGGUUGUAAAGUACUUUCAGCGGGGAGGAAGGUGUUGUGGUUAAUAACCGCAGCAAUUGACGUUACCCGCAGAAGAAGCACCGGCUAACUCCGUGCCAGCAGCCGCGGUAAUACGGAGGGUGCAAGCGUUAAUCGGAAUUACUGGGCGUAAAGCGCACGCAGGCGGUCUGUCAAGUCGGAUGUGAAAUCCCCGGGCUCAACCUGGGAACUGCAUUCGAAACUGGCAGGCUUGAGUCUUGUAGAGGGGGGUAGAAUUCCAGGUGUAGCGGUGAAAUGCGUAGAGAUCUGGAGGAAUACCGGUGGCGAAGGCGGCCCCCUGGACAAAGACUGACGCUCAGGUGCGAAAGCGUGGGGAGCAAACAGGAUUAGAUACCCUGGUAGUCCACGCCGUAAACGAUGUCUACUUGGAGGUUGUGCCCUUGAGGCGUGGCUUCCGGAGCUAACGCGUUAAGUAGACCGCCUGGGGAGUACGGCCGCAAGGUUAAAACUCAAAUGAAUUGACGGGGGCCCGCACAAGCGGUGGAGCAUGUGGUUUAAUUCGAUGCAACGCGAAGAACCUUACCUGGUCUUGACAUCCACAGAACUUUCCAGAGAUGGAUUGGUGCCUUCGGGAACUGUGAGACAGGUGCUGCAUGGCUGUCGUCAGCUCGUGUUGUGAAAUGUUGGGUUAAGUCCCGCAACGAGCGCAACCCUUAUCCUUUGUUGCCAGCGGUCCGGCCGGGAACUCAAAGGAGACUGCCAGUGAUAAACUGGAGGAAGGUGGGGAUGACGUCAAGUCAUCAUGGCCCUUACGACCAGGGCUACACACGUGCUACAAUGGCGCAUACAAAGAGAAGCGACCUCGCGAGAGCAAGCGGACCUCAUAAAGUGCGUCGUAGUCCGGAUUGGAGUCUGCAACUCGACUCCAUGAAGUCGGAAUCGCUAGUAAUCGUGGAUCAGAAUGCCACGGUGAAUACGUUCCCGGGCCUUGUACACACCGCCCGUCACACCAUGGGAGUGGGUUGCAAAAGAAGUAGGUAGCUUAACCUUCGGGGGGGCGCUUACCACUUUGUGAUUCAUGACUGGGGUGAAGUCGUAACAAGGUAACCGUAGGGGAACCUGCGGUUGGAUCACCUCCUUA